rnacentral:rRNA from 1 species
AGCAGCCGCGGUAAUUCCAGCUCCAAUAGCGUAUAUUAAAGUUGUUGCAGUUAAAAAGCUCGUAGUUGAAUUUCGGGAUUGACGUGAUGGUCAUGCCUUAAGGGGUAUGAACUGUCACAGUUGAUUUCUCACCUUCUGGAGAAACUUGAUGUCCUUUAUUGGGUGUCUUGCGGAUCCAGGACCUUUACCUUGAAAAAAUUAGAGUGUUUAAAGCAGGCAUUUUUGCUCGAAUACAUUAGCAUGGAAUAAUAGAAUAGGACGGCAUGGUUCUAUUUUGUUGGUUUCUAGGAUCACCGUAAUGAUUAAUAGGGAUAGUUGGGGGCAUUAGUAUUCAAUUGUCAGAGGUGAAAUUCUUGGAUUUAUUGAAGACUAACUACUGCGAAAGCAUUUGCCAAGGAUGUUUUCAUUAAUCAAGAACGAAAGUUAGGGGAUCGAAGACGAUCAGAUACCGUCGUAGUCUUAACCAUAAACUAUGCCGACUAGGGAUCGGACGAAGUUAAUUUUAUAAUGACGCG